UACGUAGGGGGCAAGCGUUGUCCGGAUUCAUUGGGCGUAAAGAGCUCGUAGGCGGCUUGGCAAGUCGGGUGUGAAACCUCCAGCUCAACCUGGAGACGCCACCCGAUACUGCCAUGGCUAGAGUCCGGUAGGGGACCACGGAAUUCCUGGUGUAGCGGUGAAAUGCGCAGAUAUCAGGAGGAACACCGGUGGCGAAGGCGGUGGUCUGGGCCGGAACUGACGCUGAGGAGCGAAAGCGUGGGGAGCGAACAGG
rnacentral:rRNA from 1 species